UCGUGAGACAGGUUAGUUUUACCCUACUGAUGAAGGUUACCGCAAUAGUAAUUGAACUUAGUACGAGAGGAACAGUUCAUUCGGAUAAUUGGUUUUUGCGGCUGUCUGAUCAGGCAGUGCCGCGAAGCUACCAUCCGCUGGAUUAUGGCUGAACGCCUCUAAGUCAGAAUCCAUGCUAGAACGCGGUGAUUCUCUGCCCCACACAACAUAGAUGGACACGAAUAAGGCGCGCUUGUCGCGUCGCUGAGCCAUAGCAGGCUGGCAACGGUGCUCUAGGCGGAAAGGCCCUGGGUGCUUGCCGGCGAAUUGCAAUGUCAUAUUGCGUGGGGAUAAAUCAUUUGCAUACGACUUAGAUGUACAACGGGGUAUUGUAAGCAG
rnacentral:rRNA from 1 species